UUUAUAGUAGUUAAAAAGACAUAACAGUGGACUUAAAAUUCAAAAACGGAGGUUUAACUCCUCCCUAUAACU
rnacentral:tRNA from 1 species